rnacentral:rRNA from 1 species
GACGAACGCUGGCGGCGUGCUUAACACAUGCAAGUCGAACGGUGAAGCGCCUUCCUUUUUGGUGGGUGUGGAUGAGUGGCGAACGGGUGAGUAACACGUGAGUAACCUGCCCCCUUCUUCUGGAUAACCGCAUGAAAGUGUGGCUAAUACGGGAUAUUCUGGGUCUGUCGCAUGAUGGGUCUGGGAAAGAUAUUGUUUCGGUGUGGGCUGGGCUCGCGGCCUAUCAGCUUGUUGGUGGGGUGAUGGCCUACCAAGGCGGUGACGGGUAGCCGGCCUGAGAGGGUGGACGGUCACACUGGGACUGAGACACGGACCAGACUCCUACGGGAGGCAGCAGUGGGGAAUAUUGCACAAUGGGCGCAAGCCUGAUGCAGCGACGCCGCGUGAGGGAUGGAGGCCUUCGGGUUGUGAACCUCUUUCGCCAGUGAAGCAGGCCUGCCUCGUUUGUGGGUGGGUUGACGGUAGCUGGAUAAGAAGCGCCGGCUAACUACGUG